UACGAAGGGGGCUAGCGUUGCUCGGAAUUACUGGGCGUAAAGGGCGCGUAGGCGGCCAGUUUAGUCAGGGGUGAAAUCCCGGGGCUCAACCUCGGAACUGCCUUUGAUACUGCGGGUCUUGAGUCCGAUAGAGGUGGGUGGAAUUCCUAGUGUAGAGGUGAAAUUCGUAGAUAUUAGGAAGAACACCGGUGGCGAAGGCGGCCCACUGGAUCGGUACUGACGCUGAGGUGCGAAAGCGUGGGGAGCAAACAGG
rnacentral:rRNA from 1 species